rnacentral:rRNA from 1 species
AACGAACGCUGGCGGCGCGUCUUAAGCAUGCAAGUCGGACGGCAAGGCGGGAGCUUGCUCCUGCCCUAGAGUGGCGGACUGGUGAGUAACACGUGGGUGACAUACCCUCUGGUUGGGGAUAGCCGGUAGAAAUACCGGAUAAUACCGAAUACGAACGCACAGGUUAGAGUGGUGCGAGGAAAGGAGUUACGGCUUCGCCGGAGGAUUGGCCCGCGGCCCAUUAGCUAGUUGGAGUGGUAAAGGCACACCAAGGCAAUGAUGGGUAUCCGGCCUGAGAGGGUGAUCGGACACAUUGGGACUGAGAUACGGCCCAGACUCCUACGGGAGGCAGCAGCUAAGAAUAUUCCGCAAAUGGACGAAAGUCUGACGGAGCGACGCCGCGUGGAUGAGGAAGGCCGGAAGGUUGUAAAGUCCUUUUGGGCGCAAAGAAUAAGUACGCGAGGAAAUGCGCGUGCGGUGACGGUAGCGCCUGAAUAAGCAACGGCUAAUUACGUGCCAGCAGCCGACGG